GGCGACACUGUAGAGAUGAACUCCUCUCCAGUCUUAGUGACUAUGGUACUCUUAAUGCUUGGACGAACCCGUGGAGACUCAGUGAUGCAGACGGAAGGCCCAGUGGCCCUUUCAGAAUCAUCUGCCCUGACUAUCAACUGCAAUUAUUCAGCUGCGGGAUACCCCACUCUUUUCUGGUACGUCCAGUACCCCGGAGAAGGUCCACAGCUCCUCCUGAAAGCCUCAAGGGACAAGGAUAAGGUACUCAAGAAAGGUUUUGAAGCCACAUACCACAGAGAACAAACUUCCUUCCACUUGGAGAAAGCCUCAGUCCAAGAGUCAGACUCGGCCGUGUACUACUGUGCUCUGAGUGACACAGUGACAGGAGCUGGGAGGGGGAGCUGA